rnacentral:rRNA from 1 species
UUAUUGGGUUUUAUUCUGGCUCCGAGUGAACGCUGGUAACAUAUUUUAACACAUGCAAAUCGAACGGGAAUAGAUUAUUAUUCUAGUGGUGACCUGGUGAGUAGUAUAAGAGAAUUGAAGUGCGGGAUAGGCUAAAUUCCUAAAUCUAUAUGUAUAGAAGAUUUAUAUCGCCUGCAAUAAAGCUUUUAAAGGAUUAGGUAGUUGUUGUGGUAAUUAUUCAACAAGCCGACGAUGCUUAGCUGGUUUGAGAGAAUGAUCAGCCACAUUGGGACUGAAAACGGCCCAAGUCUUCUAAAAGGGCAGCAGUGGAGAAUAUUUGACAAUGGGCGAAAGCUUGAUCGAGUAAUGUUACGUGGGUGAUAAGAAGGCUUAAUUGCCGUAAAGCUCGUUUCGCCAAGGAUUAUAAUGCAAUCGUACUUGGAGGAGAAGCCCUGACUAACUUCGUGCCAGCAGUCGCGGUAAUACGGAGAGGGCUGGUGUUAUUCGCAUUGACUGGGUGUAAAGGGUGCGUAGGUGGUUUAUUAAGUUUCAAGGUAAAUGUUAAAUCUAAAGUUUAAAGACCUUUUAAUACUAAUAGACUAGAGUUUAUUGGGAGAUAGCUGUACAUUAAGUGUAAAGGUGAAAUUUUUCGAGAUUUAAAGGACAUUCAAUAGGCGAAGGCUGCUAUCUACUUUAAUACUGACACUGAGGCACAAAAGCAUGGGGAUCAAACAGGAUUAGAGACCCUGGUAGUCCAUGCCCUGACCGAUGAAUAUUGAUUGUACCUUUUGAUAUAAUUAAGCUAACGCGUAAAUAUUCCACCUGAGUACUACGACCGCAAGGUUAAAACUCAAAGAAACUGACGGAAGAUUGUAUAAGCGGUGGAGUAUGUGGUUUAAUUUGAUAUAACGCAAAGAAUCUUACCAACCCUUGCAUACAAGUAGUUUAAUUUAGUUUCUGAAACUUUUUCAUGAGACUAAAUGAAUUUAUUAAAAUUUAAAGUUGACCUUAAAUUUUAAUAAACUUGUACAGGUGCUGCAUGGUUGUCGGCAGUUCGUGUUGUGAAAUGUUUUGUUUAUUCAUUUAACGGACGUAACCUUCAGCUUUAUUUGAUUAAUAAAAUAAAGCAACAUUAAUUUGAAAAUUGAUUGAGAGAAGAGGAAGUCAAAUCAUUAUGGCCUAUAUAGGUUGGGCUACACACGUACUACAAUGGUAAUUACAACGUGAAGCGUAAACGCGAGUUUUAGCUAAACAUGAAAAAUUAACCUUAGUUCUGAUUAUUCUCUGUAAGUCGAGAGUAUGAAGGAGGAAUCGCUAGUAAUCGUAGAAUAGAACGCUGCGGUGAAUACAUUCUCAAUCUUUGUACACACCGCCCGUCACGCCAUGGGAAUUGGUUUGGUUAGAAGUUAAAUAGGCUGUUCCUGUAUCUUACUUCAAUUUUUAUUUUUGGGUUUUGGUGGGGAUAGUACUAAUAACGACAAUUAGAUCAAGGACUGGGGUGAAGUCGUAACAAGGUAGCGGUAGGGGAACC